AAAUGGAAGGGACGCUUUUAUUAGAUCAAAACCAAUCGACGUCCGCCGCGCUCUCGGGCCGGCGGCGCCGUACUCCUUGGUGACUCUGAAUAACUUUCGGCAGAUCGCACGGUCUCCGAACCGGCGACGCAUCCUUCAAAUGUCUGCCUUAUCAACUGUCGAUGGUAGGUUCUGCGCCUACCAUGGUUGUAACGGGUAACGGGGAAUCAGGGUUCGAUUCCGGAGAGGGAGCCUGAGAAACGGCUACCACAUCCAAGGAAGGCAGCAGGCGCGCAAAUUACCCACUCCCGGCACGGGGAGGUAGUGACGAAAAAUAACGAUACGGGACUCAUCCGAGGCCCCGUAAUCGGAAUGAGUAUACUCUAAAUCCUUAUACGAGUAUCAAUUGGAGGGCAAGUCUGGUGCCAGCAGCCGCGGUAAUUCCAGCUCCAAUAGCGUAUAUAAAAGUUGUUGCGGUUAAAAAGCUCGUAGUUGGUUGACGGAAGGGCACCACCAGGAGUGGAGCCUGCGGCUUAAUUUGACUCAACACGGGAAAACUCACCAGGCCCGGACACCGGAAGGAUUGACAGAUUGAGAGCUCUUUCUUGAUUCGGUGGGUGGUGGUGCAUGGCCGUUCUUAGUUGGUGGAGCGAUUUGUCUGGUUAAUUCCGAUAACGAACGAGACUCUAGCCUGCUAACUAGGCGUACCCGGUAUCCACAAUCGUGCUACCGGCGAUCAAAUUUCUUCUUAGAGGGACAGGCGGCUUCUAGCCGCACGAGACUGAGCAAUAACAGGUCUGUGAUGCCCUUAGAUGUCCUGGGCCGCACGCGCGCUACACUGAAGGAAUCAGCGUGUCUUCCCAGUCCGAAAGGACCGGGUAACCCGCUGAACCUCCUUUGUGCUAGGGAUUGGGGCUUGCAAUUGUUCCCCAUGAACGAGGAAUUCCCAGUAAGCGCGAGUCAUAAGCUCGCGUUGAUUACGUCCCUGCCCUUUGUACACACCGCCCGUCGCUACUACCGAUUGAAUGAUUUAGUGAGGUCUUCGGACCGGUGCGCGGAGGCAGCUCCCGCUGUCUCCGAUGUUGCUGGAAAGAUGACCAAACUUGAUCAUUUAGAGGAAGUAAAAGUCGUAAC
rnacentral:rRNA from 1 species